AAAAACAGAUUUCGGUAUCGCUAUAUCUCAUCGACAUUUGGACUUCUCCCAUCUACCUUGGCUAUCAAGUCGGGGUUUUU
rnacentral:ncRNA from 21 species